GGCAACCUCAGCCAGUUAUCUUCUGGAGAAGACAAGUGGCUGCUUCGAAAGAAGGCCCAGGAAGUAUUACUUAAUUCACCUCUACAGGAGGAACAUAACUUCCCCCCAGACCAUUAUGGCCUCCCUGCAGUUUGUGAUCUCUUUGCCUGUAUGCAGCUUAAAGUUGAUAAAGAGAAGUGGUUAUAUCGAACUCCUCUACAGAUGUGAAGGAAUGGACAAGAGUUGAGCAGCCUUUCUGCUGAUUAUCACACAUCAUGAGCUGAGUGACUGCAGCUUGCCAAAUCUUUGUGUUUCUGGGUCUGACCAAUUAGCUUAGUUCUUCUCCUGCCUAAUUUUGAACUAGUAAAGCAAAGUGAGUCAUCAGAUUAUGAGUUACUGUUUAAAAGAAAAAUGCUGUUUAUUCAUGCUGAGGUGAUUCAGUUCCCUCCUUCUUACAGAAGUAUUUUAAUUCACCCCACACUAGAAAUGCAGCAUCUUUGUGGACGUCUUUUUCACAAGCCUCCAAGGCUCCUUAGAUUGGGUCGUUACUAAAAGUACAUUAAAACACUCUUGUUUAUCGAAGUAUAUUGAUGUAUUCUAAAGCUAGUAAACUUCCCUAACGUUUAAUUGCCCUACAGAUGCUUCUCUUGCUGUGGGUUUUCUUUUGUUAGUGGUCUGAAAUAAUUAUUUUCCUGUUCUAUUAAUACAUAGUGUAUUUUGCACAAAAAAAUUAACCUGGUCAAUAGUGAUUACCAAAAUAUAUAUUAAUAAUCUUGGCAAUUUUUGACAUUAAUUAUGAAACAUUUUAGCCCACGUUAGUUCUACAUUAUUCUUCACUUAAACUCAGCUACUGCAAAUUUUGUCUUUCUGUAAAUGUUAUUAAAAUAUCCAGUGAGCUCUUUAGAAGGACUCAGUAUUAUUUCAAGACUAUUUUUGAGGUAAUUCUAGCCUUUUAAAAUAUUCUACAGACCUACGGGGCUUAAAAGAACCCCAGUACCGACUAAGCAAAUAGGCAAAAGACAUGUUGGAAAUGUAGUAUAGUACUUGAAACAGUCACUAUCAUAGGGAUAAUUGGUGCAUCCUGUGUAAAUGGAAGCUGAGCUUGACACCUGGUGCUUUUAAGUAGGGAUAAAGUCAUCCUCUCACUGCAAGCACAGCAUACCUGUACCUCCAAAAGUGACGUUUUAGUGAACAGGCCGUUUUCAACACUUGUGCCUUGGGGUGUUCAUUGAAGCUUUGUGAAAACUACUGAUGUUUUCUCAGUCUCCUUAAAGUUACGUCCAUGCUUUAAAAUGUCUGUGUAGGAGAGAAGUGGGGUUUAUAAUGUUUUCUCUAAGAUAUCUUUGCUGCUUUCCAGACUUUGAAACUAUUAAGCUUCUUAACUGCCUCUUACCGGAAAUACUUCUGGGGAAACUUCAUGGUCCCAAAAUGUCAUUGCCAUACAGCUUCACUAGAGUUCUUUGAACCACAGCUGAAAAGAGCUUUGUAUUAUUUUUUAAUUCCCUCCCCAGAUAUCAUUUAGGAGUAUUAUAUAAAGGUGGUGGGCAAAAACAAUGUAAGGAGCCUUUCCAGUUAUCUUGAGUUGCAGCUCUGUAGUUUCUUGAGGCCAAACACACUGUAUUUUACAAGUCAAAAUAUAAUUUACAUUAAUCACUAUGUUAAUGAGUAUGUAAAACAUUCUUUUGCAUUGAUGAAUUUUGUAUCUGCUUCCAUUAAAAGCAUAACAGCCAU
rnacentral:lncRNA from 1 species